UACGUAGGGUGCGAGCGUUAAUCGGAAUUACUGGGCGUAAAGCGUGCGCAGGCGGUUCGUUGUGUCUGUGGUGAAAGCCCCGGGCUUAACCUGGGAAUGGCCAUGGAAACUGGCGAGCUGGAGUGUGGCAGAGGGGGGUGGAAUUCCGCGUGUAGCAGUGAAAUGCGUAGAUAUGCGGAGGAACACCGAUGGCGAAGGCAAUCCCCUGGACCUGUACUGACGCUCAUGCACGAAAGCGUGGGGAGCAAACAGG
rnacentral:rRNA from 1 species